rnacentral:lncRNA from 1 species
UGGGUAUUUAUGUCAUUUAAUAAACAUACAUUUUUCUUUCCUUUCACUUUUUUUCACUUUCACUCAUACCAAACAAUUAAUCAAUCAUCUCACUUUAUACUCAUUUUCCAUCUACUUUCUUUCCUUUAAGAUUCUUUUCUUUCACUAUCUUUCCAUUCACUUUCUUUUUCUCAUUCAAACAUAUUGUAAAGUCUUUAUCAAUGUUUGAGAAUUGAGACUACUCCUCAUCAUAUACUACUUCAUUAUUUGUACUCUCUAUUUUCAGUAAUUUAUAGUACCUAUCAUAUCAAUUUGGGUCCACAAGUG